GAAGUCUUGCUUGAGAAUGCUCCAGGCACCUAGCUGUAGAAAGAAGAAUAGAAAUUGCAAUAACAAAAUCCUAAAUAGAAUACUAACAAUGCUCUAAUUAGACUAUAAUAAUGAUAAACAAACGUAAUCAAAUUCAAAACAACUCAAAGAAAUUUCAAACAAACAAUAAAAUUCUUAAAGAAAUAUUAGAAUGAUCACAAAUUUUACUCAAAUAUAUGUCAAUUCAACCUUAAUUUAAUUCUAGUUAAAACCCUAUGGAAUUUCACUCAACUUUAGACCAAACCUAAUUAAAUCUUAAACCCUAAUAAUUCCUAAACCCUAAGUCAAAUCCUAAAUAAAUCUUAAAUUAAAUCCUAUUCCAAAUCCUAAAUCCUAAACCAAACCCUAAAUCAAACCCUAAACCAAACCCUAAUCCAACCCUAAACUCUAAACCAAACCUUAAAUCAAAUCCUAACCAAAUCCUAAUCCAAAUCCUAAAUCAAAUCCUAACCAAACCCUAAAUCUUAAUCCAAACCCUAAUCCAAUCCUAAACUCUAAUCCAAAUCCUAAACCCUAAUCCAAACCCUAAUCCAAAUCCUAAUCCAACCCUAAAUCAAACCCUAAACCGAACCCUAGCCAAAUCCUAAUC
rnacentral:lncRNA from 1 species